UACGUAGGGUGCAAGCGUUAAUCGGAAUUACUGGGCGUAAAGCGCACGUAGGUGGCGACGUAAGUCGGGUGUGAAAGCCCCGGGCUCAACCUGGGAAUUGCAUUCGAGACUGCAUUGCUGGAGUACGGAAGAGGAGGGCGGAAUUCCCGGUGUAGCGGUGAAAUGCGUAGAUAUGCGGAGGAACACCGAUGGCGAAGGCAAUCCCCUGGACCUGUACUGACGCUCAUGCACGAAAGCGUGGGGAGCAAACAGG
rnacentral:rRNA from 1 species